UACUCCUACGGGGGGCUGCAGUCGAGAAUCAUAGACAAUGGGGGAAACCCUGAUCUUGCGACGCCGCGUGUCCGAUGAAGCCCUACGGGGUGUAAAGGACUUUUCUCAGGGAAGAAGCUAUCUCCUUCGGGUGAUGGUUGACGGUACCUGAGGAAUAAGGGGGUGCUAAUCACGUGCCAGCAGCAGCGGUAAUACGUGGUCCCCAAGCGUUAUCCGGAUUUAUUGGGCGUAUAGGGUCCGUAGGCGGUUCGUUAAGUUUCUUGUUAAAUUCCCGGGGCUCAACCUCGGGAAGGCCGGAAAAACUGGCGAACUCGAGGGCAUCAGAGGCUGGCGGAACGGCAGGUGUAGGCGUGAAAACCGUUGAUAUCUGCCGGAACACCGAAAGCGAAGGCAGCUAGCUGGGGUGACCCUGACGCUGAGGGACGAAGGCAUGGGUAGCGAAGAGGAUUAGAUACCCUCGUAGUCCAUGCUGUAAACGAUGAACACUAGCUGCUUGAAGUGUCGACCCUUCAAGUGGCGAAGCUAACGCGUUAAGUGUUCCGCCUGGGGAGUACGAGCGCAAGCUUAAAACUCAAAGGAAUAGACGGGGGCUCACAGAAGCGGUGGAUCAUGUGGCUUAAUUCGACGAUACGCGAGGAACCUUACCAAGGCUUGACAUACAUUCGAAGUUCUCGGAAACGAGAAUGCCUUCGGGCGAAUGUACAGGUGUUGCAUGGUUGUCGUCAGUAUGUGCCGUGAGGUGCACGCUUAAAUGCGGUAACAUACGCAACCCUUGUCCUAUGUUUUAUUUGUCAUAGGAGACUGCCCGGGACAACUGGGAGGAAGGUGAGGAUGACGCCAAAUCAGCAUGACCCUUAUGCCUUGGGCUGCACACAUGAUACAAUGGUCAAUACAAUGGGCUUGGCUAACCCGCAAGGGGGAGCAAAUCUCAUCAAAAUUGAUCUCAGUCCGGAUUGAGGUCUGCAAUUCGACCUCAUGAAGUUGGAAUCGCUAGUAACGGCUUAUCAUCAAUGGAGCCGUGAAUACCUCCCUGAGCCUUGUACUCACUGCCCAUCACGUCAAGCAAGCUGGGAAUACCCGAAGUGCUUCUUCGGAAGUAUUACGGUAGGCCCAGUGAGAGGGACGAAGUUGUAACAAGGCGCCGGUAGGGGAACCUGCCGGUG
rnacentral:rRNA from 1 species